rnacentral:misc_RNA from 1 species
AGUCUUACUCUAACCUUUAGGGGGGGAGGAUGCCGAAGGCAGGGCUGAUGACUGGGGUGAAGUCGUAACAAGGUAGCCGUACCGGAAGGUGUGGCUGGAUCACCUCCUUUUAGGGAGACCAUCUGAGAAACUACCGAACCUCAAGAAAAGGUAGCAAUCAGUAUCCCUGGUCGUUCGAGAAAUAGAUGUCAAAGCUUUCAAACUAUUAACUGGUUCGGAACUCGCGGGCUAUUAGCUCAGUUGGUUAGAGCGCACCCCUGAUAAGGGUGAGGUCCCUGGUUCAAAUCCAGGAUGGCCCACCUGGAAAAAAGUGAUGAAUUUGAAGUAAUGAGUGACGAAUGAAAAUUCAGGACUCAGGCGCUCAAAAAAUCAGAACUUACAAGUGUGGGGGUAUAGCUCAGUUGGUAGAGCGCCUGCCUUGCACGCAGGAAGUCAGCGGUUCGAGUCCGCUUACCUCCACUCUCACUGCAUCAAACUAGCUAAGUAUUAGAAUAGAACCACAACCAAAAAAGAGCCGAGAAAUCAGCACCCAGACUAUUGAUGUGAAAGUCGGAAUGCUGGAGUCUAGAACUCUAGUCAGAACCUUGAAAACUGCAUAGAAAUUAAGUCAUCAAAAGCAGGUAAGUCAUCCGAUGCGUCGGAAAAUCUUACCAGCAGACCACCAUCAAAGAAGAAAGUGGUCAAGUUACAAAGGGCUAACGGUG